rnacentral:rRNA from 1 species
UACGGAGGAUCCAAGCGUUAUCCGGAAUCAUUGGGUUUAAAGGGUCCGUAGGCGGUUUUGUAAGUCAGUGGUGAAAGCCCAUCGCUCAACGGUGGAACGGCCAUUGAUACUGCGAGACUUGAAUUAUUAGGAAGUAACUAGAAUAUGUAGUGUAGCGGUGAAAUGCUUAGAGAUUACAUGGAAUACCAAUUGCGAAGGCAGGUUACUACUAAUGGAUUGACGCUGAUGGACGAAAGCGUGGGGAGCGAACAGG